ACGGCGAGUGAAGCGGCAACAGCUCCAAAUUUUGAAAGCUAGCCUUCCGGGUUUCGCAUUUGUAAUUUUGUAGAGGAUGAUUUGGGGAAGCCGCCUGUCUAAGUUCCUUAGGAACAGGACGUCAUAGAGGGUGAGAAUCCCGUAUGUGACAGGAAAUGGCACCCUAUGUAAAUCUCCUUCGACGAGUCGAGUUGUUUGGGAAUGCAGCUCUAAAUGGGAGGUAAAUUUCUUCUAAAGCUAAAUAUUGGCGAGAGACCGAUAGCGCACAAGUAGAGUGAUCGAAAGAUGAAAAGCACUUUGGAAAGAGAGUUAAAAAGCACGUGAAAUUGUUGAAAGGGAAGCGCUUGCAAUCAGACUUGUUUAAACUGUUCGGCCGGUCUUCUGACCGGUUUACUCAGUUUGGACAGGCCAGCAUCAGUUUCGGCGGCCGGAUAAAGGCUCUGGGAAUGUGGCCUCCACUUCGGUGGAGGUGUUAUAGCCCAGGGUGUAAUACGGCCAGCCGGGACUGAGGUCCGCGCUUCGGCUAGGAUGCUGGCGUAAUGGUUGUAAGCGACCCGUCUUGA
rnacentral:rRNA from 1 species